GGGUUGUGAGGUUAAGCGACUAAGCGUACACGGUGGAUGCCCUGGCAGUCAGAGGCGAUGAAGGACGUGCUAAUCUGCGAAAAGCGCCGGCGAGGUGAUAUGAACCUUUGACCCGGUGAUGUCCGAAUGGGGAAACCCAGUGCAAUCCGUUGCACUAUCGUUAACUGAAUACAUAGGUUAACGAGGCGAACCGGGGGAACUGAAACAUCUAAGUACCCCGAGGAAAAGAAAUCAACCGAGAUUCCCCCAGUAGCGGCGAGCGAACGGGGAGCAGCCCGGGAGUCUGAAUCAGCUUGUGUGUUAGUGGAACGGUCUGGAAAGUCCGACGGUACAGGGUGAUAGUCCCGUACACGAAAAUGCACAUGCUGUGAACUCGAAGAGUAGGGCGGGACACGUGGUAUCCUGUCUGAAUAUGGGGGGACCAUCCUCCAAGGCUAAAUACUCCUGACUGACCGAUAGUGAACCAGUACCGUGAGGAAAGGCGAAAAGAACCCCGGCGAGGGGAGUGAAAAAGAACCUGAAACCGUGUACGUACAAGCAGUGGGAGCCUCUUUAUGGGGUGACUGCGUACCUUUUGUAUAAUGGGUCAGCGACUUAUAUUCUGUAGCAAGGUUAACCGUAUAGGGGAGCCGAAGGGAAACCGAGUCUUAACUGGGCGUUAAGUUGCAGGGUAUAGACCCGAAACCCGGUGAUCUAGCCAUGGGCAGGUUGAAGGUUGGGUAACACUAACUGGAGGACCGAACCGACUAAUGUUGAAAAAUUAGCGGAUGACCUGUGGCUGGGGGUGAAAGGCCAAUCAAACCGGGAGAUAGCUGGUUCUCCCCGAAAGCUAUUUAGGUAGCGCCUCGUGAACUCAUCUUCGGGGGUAGAGCACUGUUUCGGCUAGGGGGCCAUCCCGGCUUACCAACCCGAUGCAAACUACGAAUACCGAAGAAUGUUAUCACGGGAGACACACGGCGGGUGCUAACGUCCGUCGUGAAGAGGAAACAACCCAGACCGCCAGCUAAGGUCCCAAAGUCAUGGUUAAGUGGGAAACGAUGUGGGAAGGCACAGACAGCCAGGAUGUUGGCUUAGAAGCAGCCAUCAUUUAAAGAAAGCGUAAUAGCUCACUGGUCGAGUCGGCCUGCGCGGAAGAUGUAACGGGGCUAAACCAUGCACCGAAGCUGCGGCAGCGACACUAUGUGUUGUUGGGUAGGGGAGCGUUCUGUAAGCCGUUGAAGGUGUGCUGUGAGGCAUGCUGGAGGUAUCAGAAGUGCGAAUGCUGACAUAAGUAACGAUAAAGCGGGUGAAAAGCCCGCUCGCCGGAAGACCAAGGGUUCCUGUCCAACGUUAAUCGGGGCAGGGUGAGUCGACCCCUAAGGCGAGGCCGAAAGGCGUAGUCGAUGGGAAACAGGUUAAUAUUCCUGUACUUGGUGUUACUGCGAAGGGGGGACGGAGAAGGCUAUGUCAGCCGGGCGACGGUUGUCCCGGUUUAAGCAUGUAGGCGGAGGUUCCAGGUAAAUCCGGUACCUUAUUAACGCUGAGGUGUGAUGACGAGGCACUACGGUGCUGAAGUGAUAAAUGCCCUGCUUCCGGAAAAGCCUCUAAGCAUCAGGUAACACGAAAUCGUACCCCAAACCGACACAGGUGGUCAGGUAGAGAAUACCAAGGCGCUUGAGAGAACUCGGGUGAAGGAACUAGGCAAAAUGGUGCCGUAACUUCGGGAGAAGGCACGCUGAUAUGUAGGUGAAGCCCCUGCGGGCGGAGCUGAAAUCAGUCGAAGAUACCAGCUGGCUGCAACUGUUUAUUAAAAACACAGCACUGUGCAAACACGAAAGUGGACGUAUACGGUGUGACGCCUGCCCGGUGCCGGAAGGUUAAUUGAUGGGGUUAGCGGCAACGCGAAGCUCUUGAUCGAAGCCCCGGUAAACGGCGGCCGUAACUAUAACGGUCCUAAGGUAGCGAAAUUCCUUGUCGGGUAAGUUCCGACCUGCACGAAUGGCGUAAUGAUGGCCAGGCUGUCUCCACCCGAGACUCAGUGAAAUUGAACUCGCUGUGAAGAUGCAGUGUACCCGCGGCAAGACGGAAAGACCCCGUGAACCUUUACUAUAGCUUGACACUGAACACUGGUCCUUGAUGUGUAGGAUAGGUGGGAGGCUUUGAAGCGUGGACGCCAGUCUGCGUGGAGCCAACCUUGAAAUACCACCCUUUAAUGGCUGGUGUUCUAACGUAGACCCGUAAUCCGGGUUGCGGACAGUGUCUGGUGGGUAGUUUGACUGGGGCGGUCUCCUCCCAAAGAGUAACGGAGGAGCACGAAGGUUGGCUAAUCCUGGUCGGACAUCAGGAGGUUAGUGCAAUGGCAUAAGCCAGCUUGACUGCGAGCGUGACGGCGCGAGCAGGUGCGAAAGCAGGUCAUAGUGAUCCGGUGGUUCUGAAUGGAAGGGCCAUCGCUCAACGGAUAAAAGGUACUCCGGGGAUAACAGGCUGAUACCGCCCAAGAGUUCAUAUCGACGGCGGUGUUUGGCACCUCGAUGUCGGCUCAUCACAUCCUGGGGCUGAAGUAGGUCCCAAGGGUAUGGCUGUUCGCCAUUUAAAGUGGUACGCGAGCUGGGUUUAGAACGUCGUGAGACAGUUCGGUCCCUAUCUGCCGUGGGCGCUGGAGAAUUGAGGGGGGCUGCUCCUAGUACGAGAGGACCGGAGUGGACGCAUCACUGGUGUUCGGGUUGUCAUGCCAAUGGCACUGCCCGGUAGCUAAAUGCGGAAGAGAUAAGUGCUGAAAGCAUCUAAGCACGAAACUUGCCCCGAGAUGAGUUCUCCCUGAGACUUUAAGUCUCCUGAAGGAACGUUGAAGACGACGACGUUGAUAGGUCGGGUGUGUAAGCGCAGCGAUGCGUUGAGCUAACCGAUACUAAUGAACCGUGAGGCUUAACCUUACAACGCCGAAGGUGUUU
rnacentral:rRNA from 1 species